rnacentral:misc_RNA from 1 species
GAUGAAGAACGUAGUGAAAUGCGAUAAGUAAUGUGAAUUGCAGAAUUCAGUGAAUCAUCGAAUCUUUGAACGCACAUUGCGCCCCUUGGUAUUCCGAGGGGCAUGCCUAUUCGAGCGUCAUUAUAACCCCUCAAGCUCAGCUUGGUGUUGGGGCCUGCCGACUGGCAGCCCUUAAAAUCAGUGGCGGCGCCAUCUGGCUCUAAGCGUAGUAAUUUCUCUCGCUAUAGAGUCCCGGUGGAUGCUUGCCAGCAACCCCCAACUUUCUAUGGUUGACCUCGGAUCAGGUAGGGAUACCCGCUGAACUUAAGCAUAUCAAUAAGCGGAGGA